CCCCGGUAAACGGCGGCCGUAACUAUAACGGUCCUAAGGUAGCGAAAUUCCUUGUCGGGUAAGUUCCGACCUGCACGAAUGGCGUAAUGAUGGCCAGGCUGUCUCCACCCGAGACUCAGUGAAAUUGAACUCGCUGUGAAGAUGCAGUGUACCCGCGGCAAGACGGAAAGACCCCGUGAACCUUUACUAUAGCUUGACACUGAACAUUGAGCCUUGAUGUGUAGGAUAGGUGGGAGGCUUUGAAGUGUGGACGCCAGUCUGCAUGGAGCCGACCUUGAAAUACCACCCUUUAAUGUUUGAUGUUCUAACGUGGACCCGUAAUCCGGGUUGCGGACAGUGUCUGGUGGGUAGUUUGACUGGGGCGGUCUCCUCCUAAAGAGUAACGGAGGAGCACGAAGGUUGGCUAAUCCUGGUCGGACAUCAGGAGGUUAGUGCAAUGGCAUAAGCCAGCUUGACUGCGAGCGUGACGGCGCGAGCAGGUGCGAAAGCAGGUCAUAGUGAUCCGGUGGUUCUGAAUGGAAGGGCCAUCGCUCAACGGAUAAAAGGUACUCCGGGGAUAACAGGCUGAUACCGCCCAAGAGUUCAUAUCGACGGCGGUGUUUGGCACCUCGAUGUCGGCUCAUCACAUCCUGGGGCUGAAGUAGGUCCCAAGGGUAUGGCUGUUCGCCAUUUAAAGUGGUACGCGAGCUGGGUUUAGAACGUCGUGAGACAGUUCGGUCCCUAUCUGCCGUGGGCGCUGGAGAACUGAGGGGGGCUGCUCCUAGUACGAGAGGACCGGAGUGGACGCAUCACUGGUGUUCGGGUUGUCAUGCCAAUGGCACUGCCCGGUAGCUAAAUGCGGAAGAGAUAAGUGCUGAAAGCAUCUAAGCACGAAACUUGCCCCGAGAUGAGUUCUCCCUGAGACUUAGAGUCUCCUGAAGGAACGUUGAAGACGACGACGUUGAUAGGCCGGGUGUGUAAGCGCAGCGAUGCGUUGAGCUAACCGGUACUAAUGAACCGUGAGGCUUAACCUUACAA
rnacentral:rRNA from 2 species